rnacentral:lncRNA from 1 species
AAUGAGAUCUGACUCCCUCUUCUGGAGUGUCUGAAGACAGUGACAGUGUACUUACAGAUAAUAAAUAAAUAAAUAAAUCUUUAAAAAACAAAAAACAACAAAACAAAACAAAACAGGGGCAGUUAUACCCCCCCAAGGUCACCAAAAGCACACCUUGCUUUUGUCUUGUUUGUUUUAAAUUUUUUGCAAACUGAUGUUAAAAGUCUGCAGUGGAUCGCCACUGGCAUCCAGUUACUUCCAGUUCUUAUGCCAUGGUGAAAUGGUGGGACCCAUUAACUAAUGUGUGGAAUGGUCCAGACCCCGUUUUAAUCUGGGGAAGAGGUUCGGUCUGUGUUUUUGCACAAAAAGAAGACGGAUGGUGAUGUCUGCCUGAAAGAUUGGUUCAUCAAGUGGACACAGACUCUGAAUCUUCCAGUAAGUACUACUCUAACCUCGAUGAUGGCUAAAAAAUCUUUUUUUUAGCUGAAAGAGUUAAUUUGGAGUACAGCCUCCACUUCCAGAGAAUUUUCAGCCUUCCUGUUAAUUCUCAAAGCCACCUGCCCCACACCUGGAGGCCAGAGUUUGAGCUUGAUCAUUGCUAAUUUGCAACUGAAUAGAGUACCUGGACGUCCACAAAGAAGCUUUUAUCCUGUUGUUUUUCAACUGUCUCAACUUUGUUUUUUCAAGCAGAUCCUUCAAUGCCUUACAGCCUGUUUUCAGCAAGCAUGCAGCUCCGCCUCCAGCAAGCGCAGGUGGCAGAAAUUCAUCGAUAUGAAGAAGCAUAUUGAGUAUAUAUUGUGGCUGUGGUCUGAUUUGGGAAUAAGGUGUGCUAUAAGAGCUGGUCAGUCAAUGAUGGGCAACCAGAUUUCGGAACUAUAUCAAUCUAAGACAGAGGUACAUGCCAAGAGGCUGUGGUUUAUUAGUAAUACACCACAGAGCCAUGUUUGUGCAAAAUAAACACAAACAAGCUGCAUAUAUUCUUCUUGAAGGAUAAAAAUUGUUCGGGAAAAUCUGAGAUUUCCCAAGCCAGGCGUGGCCGCCAGCCACCAUAACUCCCAGGCAGGACUAAGCAUAAACAAUUUUUAUGCCCAGUCCAGAUAAUUUUUAGUAUAUAUUUAGGGAGGAAUUGUAGCUUCCCUCAGCCUUGAAGCAGGCUGAUUCAGACUUUACUGCCACUGAAUAUGAGAUCAUCUGGGGUGUAGCCUUCCAAUUUAGAUGGCUAUAUUGUUAUGUCAACUACUGCUGCUCUUCUCUGAGACUCUACUACCUGCUGAGAGACCCUUGAGACAUUCCGGAGACACAUCCUAUUAUGCACAUCGCCUACUGGCUGGCUCCAGGCACCAAGAAUGGAUUGGCAGGGGAUGGGCCUCCCCUCUUUAUAAGCACAGACUCUUAGUAAACUUUGGGGCCUUGAUCAGAGAAAAAUUUGUCUUGGCCUCAUUCUUUUCUCGCCAUCUAGUUUCUUUCAGCCCCAGCCUGCCUUUCAGGAGUACCUGGUUCAUGUAAGCCACGGGUGGCUUACAGUUACACAAGCUAGGUGUAGCUAUUACCCCUCAUCAGAAGAUGAUAUGAGGAGCUGCUCUUAAAAGACCCUUGAAGAUGAAGCUCAGAUCAUCAGGAAAUGAAAAUCCGAUAUCUUCUUAUGGCCUCCAAAGACACCAAAUACUCAUGGACUGCACUGACAAACAAUGGGGACAACACAGUUAUCUGCAUAACAUUUUUAGGAUUGAAGACAGAAUUACUAUGUAACUUGUCUGUACCACUUUAGAGGCUAAGCUCAAAAGAAUGGAACUCAGCUCAAUUAAACUCCACUUCUACGCUCACCUGGGCACUACCCACAAUACCCAAGUUAGGGAAUGGGACUGGGUACCUACCAGUGGAUAAUAAGUAAAGACUAGAUAAAGCAUGCUAUAAUGAUGCUGGCUUUAGACAUGAAGAACAGAACUGCCACCGCAGGGAAAUGGGUGGAACUGGAAAUCACCAUGUUUAUGAAAAUAGCCCAGACUGAAAAAGGCCGGUUCUCAUAUGUGGGAUCCAGGCAGGAGGGGACAUGAAAAGAAAGAGAGAGAACUAUUAGAGAUUUGGACAGAGAAAGGGAGGAAGACUAUCUGAGUGGAUAAUAUUGGGAAGGGAGACCUUUAAAAGACAUUAUACACAUUCACACAAGUAUUUUAGAGAAGAACGAUCAAGGCUGCUGAUGAGACCAUUUGGUAGAAGGCUUGCCUGCCAAAAACUGGGCAGGGCGGGGGAGGGGGGGCUGUA